UGCGUAGGCGGAAUUUUAAGUCAGUGGUGAAAUCCUGCAGCUUAACUGUAGAACUGCCAUUGAUACUGAUCUUCUUGAAUUUAGUUGAGGUGGUCGGAACGUGUAAUGUAGCGGUGAAAUGCUUAGAUAUUACACAGAACACCGAUUGCGAAGGCAGCUCACUAAACUAACAUUGACGCUGAGGCACGAAAGCGUGGGUAGCGAACAGGAUUAGAUACCCUGGUAGUCC
rnacentral:rRNA from 1 species